rnacentral:tRNA from 1 species
AGUUUUAUAGUUUAUAAAAAAUUUUAAAUUGCAAAUUUAAAGAAUUUAGGUUAAAUAAAACUU